ACAGUGAAUAAAUGUGCUGCUUGAGGAUAUCUAUGCCCGUGUCUUUUCUGAAGAUGCAACAGUGAACCAUCAGGCUCCCGAGCAGAGGUGCUUCUAAAGAAACUUGUACUCAAAAUUCAAAAUCUAUAGCUGCUUUAAUGCAGCAAUUAGGCCAGGUAGAUUGCCCCAUUAAGUGAAUUAAAUUGUGCCAUGUAGGCAAGCCUUUUGUUGGGACUGUUUGCAAAAAUGAUUACCUGGAUGAAAUACAACUUGUGUGCAGAAAGCCAGCGCAAAUCUUAUGAAGUACUUACAUCUCAAUCAAGCCAUUCUGUGUGAGUCUUAGGUAGGACUUGAAUGGUACAGAAGCCUUUUAUAGUUUUUGCAUAAGGAUACAUUUCACUCUUCAUGGAAUAAUCUUCAAUAUAACUUAAAAUUCACUAUAAAUAAUCUCCCAAAGAAAAAAAAGAACACGUGUGUUAUUUUGGAAUUUAAUCAAAUUUGCAUAAAAACCAUGGAAAUUUUAAUUUGCCCUGCUCUAUUUUUAAUUGAGAUUGAUACAAAAAGGUCUGCUGGAAGUUUGUAGGCAUUUCACCUGCAUCAUGAACCAACAGUCUGAUAACCUACAUUGUAUUGGUGAAAGAUCAAAGCGUACACAUAUAUGUCAAAAAGGUGUUAAUAUGA